rnacentral:rRNA from 1 species
UAUACAACUUUCAACAACGGAUCUCUUGGCUCUCGCAUCGAUGAAGAACGCAGCGAAAUGCGAUAAGUAAUGUGAAUUGCAGAAUUCAGUGAAUCAUCGAAUCUUUGAACGCACCUUGCGCUCCUUGGUAUUCCGAGGAGCAUGCCUGUU